UUCCCAACUAGCAGACAAUAAAACUGCACGACUAGUUUCGCAAGCAAUAGUUAAAAAUACAUUGCGAGACUCCGUAGCAAUUCCUUCAAGAAAUUAACUUUGUCCGAUGCGGUCUUAGAAUUAGUUUUCUUUUUUUAUGGCCACGUGAUGAAAAUUAUUAUAGCCAUCUAAACGAAACGCAAAUGUGACAACUUGGUCGAGUAUGGUGGCCCAGUGAGGUUUUUGAUAUAUGAAUUGUCGCUCGCCUGUUUAAACUGUCUUUGGAAAUAAUUACUUUGAAAUACAACAGUGCGCAAUCAAUGGCUCGAAAUCACACGUUAUAUUACAUUAAUUAUACAUACCUGGUAUUCAAGUCGGGAUCCUUAUAUGUACUCAUAUAGAGGCCAUUGAGAACACCGCUCGAUAAAUUUCCAAUAAAUUUCAUGAUCCUCUUCCUCUUCGGUGGACAAUAUGGGAACGUUCGAUCCAUAAUCAUGACUUAAUACCGUCUCGGUUAUGUUUAACCAUUUUUGGUGUAAAAUUAAAGAAUUUCUUGGCGAAUGAACUUUUAUGGAAAUAUUGACAGUGCCAAAGAAAAUGCCAGCAUCCAAAUCGAUUGAUAAGUAUGUUAUCGUCUGUACCUCAAUAAUUUUGUUCUUAUCUUCGUCGCUCUUGCACGUCCGACUCUUCUCAGUGGCGUUGCUAUAUUUAGUUCCAAGUACAACCGUCGAAACGAAGAAACAAAACAG